GAUGAACGCUGGCGGCGUGCCUAAUACAUGCAAGUCGAGCGAACGGACGAGAAGCUUGCUUCUCUGAUGUUAGCGGCGGACGGGUGAGUAACACGUGGAUAACCUACCUAUAAGACUGGGAUAACUUCGGGAAACCGGAGCUAAUACCGGAUAAUAUUUUGAACCGCAUGGUUCAAAAGUGAAAGACGGUCUUGCUGUCACUUAUAGAUGGAUCCGCGCUGCAUUAGCUAGUUGGUAAGGUAACGGCUUACCAAGGCAACGAUGCAUAGCCGACCUGAGAGGGUGAUCGGCCACACUGGAACUGAGACACGGUCCAGACUCCUACGGGAGGCAGCAGUAGGGAAUCUUCCGCAAUGGGCGAAAGCCUGACGGAGCAACGCCGCGUGAGUGAUGAAGGUCUUCGGAUCGUAAAACUCUGUUAUUAGGGAAGAACAUAUGUGUAAGUAACUGUGCACAUCUUGACGGUACCUAAUCAGAAAGCCACGGCUAACUACGUGCCAGCAGCCGCGGUAAUACGUAGGUGGCAAGCGUUAUCCGGAAUUAUUGGGCGUAAAGCGCGCGUAGGCGGUUUUUUAAGUCUGAUGUGAAAGCCCACGGCUCAACCGUGGAGGGUCAUUGGAAACUGGAAAACUUGAGUGCAGAAGAGGAAAGUGGAAUUCCAUGUGUAGCGGUGAAAUGCGCAGAGAUAUGGAGGAACACCAGUGGCGAAGGCGACUUUCUGGUCUGUAACUGACGCUGAUGUGCGAAAGCGUGGGGAUCAAACAGGAUUAGAUACCCUGGUAGUCCACGCCGUAAACGAUGAGUGCUAAGUGUUAGGGGGUUUCCGCCCCUUAGUGCUGCAGCUAACGCAUUAAGCACUCCGCCUGGGGAGUACGACCGCAAGGUUGAAACUCAAAGGAAUUGACGGGGACCCGCACAAGCGGUGGAGCAUGUGGUUUAAUUCGAAGCAACGCGAAGAACCUUACCAAAUCUUGACAUCCUUUGACAACUCUAGAGAUAGAGCUUUCCCCUUCGGGGGACAAAGUGACAGGUGGUGCAUGGUUGUCGUCAGCUCGUGUCGUGAGAUGUUGGGUUAAGUCCCGCAACGAGCGCAACCCUUAAGCUUAGUUGCCAUCAUUAAGUUGGGCACUCUAAGUUGACUGCCGGUGACAAACCGGAGGAAGGUGGGGAUGACGUCAAAUCAUCAUGCCCCUUAUGAUUUGGGCUACACACGUGCUACAAUGGACAAUACAAAGGGCAGCGAAACCGCGAGGUCAAGCAAAUCCCAUAAAGUUGUUCUCAGUUCGGAUUGUAGUCUGCAACUCGACUACAUGAAGCUGGAAUCGCUAGUAAACGUAGAUCAGCAUGCUACGGUGAAUACGUUCCCGGGUCU
rnacentral:rRNA from 1 species